AUGUCCCCUUCGCGCGGCCGGGACCGGGCGCCUCCGCCGCCGCCGCCGCCGCCGCCGCCGCUGCUGCUGCUCCCUCCUCGCCGGCUGCUGCUGCUGCAGACUCUGCUGCUCCGGGGCGCUCCGCGGCGCGCCCUGCGGCAUCAGCGCCCCGCGCGGCUCCUCCCGAGCGCUGCGCCCUCCGGGCUGGCGCGGGGGCUGCGAGGCGGCCGCCGCUGGGCAGGAGGCACCCGCCGGUGCGAGGAACCUGGCUCUCUGCCGGCCGGCCGGCCGUCCGGGCGUCCGCGGGAGGCUGGCUGCCCGACUCACUCCGGGGGCAGCAUGCGCGGAGGGUCUGGAAGCUGGGGCGCACUCUCCAGGCGGGGCGUGGGGCUGCGCGGGGCCAGGGGUCAGCGCUCCGGGGCCGGGGCGCGCGGCGGCAGCACGAACGCGUCACGGCCGCUCCGUCUGGGCGCCUGCCGGCUCAUGUCUCCUCCUCCGCGUCUCUCCGGCCGUGCGCAUCGCCGCCUCCCACCACUGGCGGCGGCCGGGGCGUUUUCUACGCGCGGGCGGCGAGGGGGCGGGGGGCCGGGGGCGGGCCCGGGCCCGAGCCGGCACAAUGAGGAUGCGGGGCCCAGGGGCUCCCCCCUCGGGGCGCGGCCGGACGGGCGCUCAGCUCGCCUGGGUGCGCCGCGCCCACAUCAAAGGCGGCCCUGCCGGCUUGCGGGCCUGCCGCGGCCUCUCCACUGCCGCCUCCUCUUCUCCUGGCGCUCCGGCUUGGAGGGAGGCGCUCAGACUCUCGGCGACAGCACCAGCAGCUCCGAAGGGGCAGAGCCCGCGAGGCUGGAGCUGAUGAGCGCUGGGAGCCGUCGAAAUUCCGCGCCUGGGCGCAAUGACCCGCGCCACGGGGCAAAGGCUGCCAGAACUGCCAGGGCUGCGGUCCCCCAGAACUCAGUUAGGUGCAGAAUGUCCUUCCUCACCCACAUUCGUCCUACCACUCAAACCCACCAGCGCCUGAGUGGGGAGCAGGGAGAGGGCGGGUCAGGCCCAACCCUCGGGGCGGCUCCACGUAAGGGGGGGUCUCUUUUACCCACCCUGUGA
rnacentral:lncRNA from 1 species